rfam:Thermoplasmatales archaeon A-plasma AMDT1_APLC00014, whole genome shotgun sequence.
GGGCCCGUAGUGUAAAGGAUAUCACCUAGGCCUCCGGAGCCUAUGAUCCGGGUUCGAAUCCCGGCGGGCCCG